rnacentral:rRNA from 1 species
AGAGACAGCAGUAGCCACGGUAAAACGUAGGUCCCAAGCGUUGUCCGGAUUUAUUGGGCGUAAAGCGAGCGCAGGCGGUUAGAUAAGUCUGAAGUUAAAGGCUGUGGCUUAACCAUAGUACGCUUUGGAAACUGUUUAACUUGAGUGCAAGAGGGGAGAGUGGAAUUCCAUGUGUAGCGGUGAAAUGCGUAGAUAUAUGGAGGAACACCGGUGGCGAAAGCGGCUCUCUGGCUUGUAACUGACGCUGAGGCUCGAAAGCGUGGGGAGCAAACAGGAUUAGAUACCCCAGUAGUCCCUGUCUCUUAUACA